rnacentral:tRNA from 1 species
AUCUUUUUAGUAAAAAAUAAUACAAAUGACUUCCAAUCAUUUAAUCUUAGUUUAAACCUAAGAAAAGAUA